ACGUGUGCUCUUCCGAUCUUGGUGAAUGCCUUGGCAUCAGGAGCCGAUGAAGGACGUGAUAAGCUGCGAUAAGCUUCGGGUAGGCGCACAUAGCCAGUGAUCCGGAGAUUUCCGAAUGUGGGAACACACAUGGGAAACCCCAUGUAUCGUAUAGUGAAUACAUAGCUAUACGAGGGUAAACCUAGGGAACUGAAACAUCUAAGUACCUAGAGGAAGAGAAAGAAAAAUCGAUUUCCUAAGUAGCGGCGAGCGAAAGGGAAAGAGCCCAAACCAAAGAUUUAUCUUUGGGGUUGCGGACAGAACAUUAAAGUGGAGGCUAUUGUAAUUGAAGAGUACUGGAAAGUACCACCGUAGAAGGUAAUAGUCCUGUAAGUAAAACGAGAAGACCACGAGUUCUGAUCCAGAGUACCACGAGACACGUGAAACCUUGUGGGAAGCAGGGAGGACCACCUCCCAAGGCUAAAUACUACCUGAUGACCGAUAGUGAAGCAGUACCGUGAGGGAAAGGUGAAAAGAACCCCGGGAGGGGAGUGAAAUAGAACCUGAAACCGUGUGCCUACAACCGGUCAAAGCCCCAUAUGAGGGUGAUGACGUGCUUUUUGUAGAACGAGCCAACGAGUUACGGUAUGUAGCAAGGUUAAGUACUUAAGGUACGGAGCCGAAGGGAAACCGAGUCUUAAUAGGGCGACUAGUUGCAUGCCGUAGACCCGAAACCGGGUGACCUAUCCAUGGCCAGGUUGAAGCGAGGGUAAAACUUCGUGGAGGACCGAACCACGUUGCUGUUGAAAAAGCAUGGGAUGAGCUGUGGAUAGCGGAGAAAUUCCAAUCGAACUCGGAGAUAGCUGGUUCUCCCCGAAAUAGCUUUAGGGCUAGCGUCGGAUAUGUGUAGUGGAGGUAGAGCACUGAAUGGGCUAGGGGGCAUAUCGCUUACCGAACCUUAUCAAACUCCGAAUGCCAUAUACAUUUAGUCCGGCAGUCAGACUACGAAUGAUAAGAUCCGUGGUCAAAAGGGAAACAGCCCAGAUCGUCAGCUAAGGUCCCAAAGUGUAAGUUAAGUGGAAAAGGAUGUGGGAUUUCUAAGACAACUAGGAUGUUGGCUUAGAAGCAGCCACUCAUUUAAAGAGUGCGUAAUAGCUCACUAGUCGAGAGAUCCUGCGCCGAAAAUGUCCGGGGCUCAAACUUACCACCGAAGCUACGGGCUUGCGUAAGCAAGCGGUAGGGGAGCGUCGUAAUCGGGCUGAAGUCGUACCGUAAGGAGCGGUGGACUGAUUACGAGUGAGAAUGUUGGCAUUAGUAGCGAGAUGUAGGUGAGAAUCCUACAGGCCGAAUAUCUAAGGUUUCCUCAGGAAGGCUCGUCCGCUGAGGGUUAGUCGGGACCUAAGCCGAGGCCGAAAGGCGUAGGCGAUGGACAAUCGGUUGAUAUUCCGAUACCACUACCAUCGUUAUUAUCGAGGGUGUGACGGAGAAGGAUAGUGUGUGCUAGCGAUUGGAAAUGCUAGUCUAAGCGUUUAGGGAGUUACGGUAGGCAAAUCCGCUGUAACAAUUCUGAGGCGUGAUGGGGAAGGCCAUAUAGGCCGAAGUACAUGAUUCCAUGCUUCCAAGAAAAGCAUCUAGAGAGAGAAGUAGUGCCCGUACCGCAAACCGACACAGGUAGAUGAGGAGAGAAUCCUAAGGCCGGCGGAAGAAUUGCAGUUAAGGAACUAGGCAAAUUGACCCCGUAAGUUCGCGAGAAGGGGUGCCUGCGAGAGCAGGCCGCAGAGAAUAGGCCCAAGCAACUGUUUAGCAAAAACACAGGUCUCUGCUAAAGCGUAAGCUGAUGUAUAGGGGCUGACGCCUGCCCGGUGCUGGAAGGUUAAGGGGAACACUUAGCGCAAGCGAAGGUGUGAACUUAAGCCCCAGUAAACGGCGGCCGUAACAAUAACGGUCCUAAGGUAGCGAAAUUCCUUGUCAGGUAAGUUCUGACCCGCACGAAUGGCGUAA
rnacentral:rRNA from 1 species